GAGGGCAUUGUGAGUGAGGGGAACCCUGCGAAGAAAUACACUGUACAGCAGCAAAUUGGCCAAGGGUGGCCAUCAAGAAGAUUUUUCUCCGCGACAGAAAGAACAAAAGGGAGCUUGUUGUAACUGAGGUUUCACUCCUGAGUAGCAUGAGGCACCCCAAUAUCAUUCGCUAUAUAGACAGCUACCUUUUCAAUGAAGAACUGGCUGGUGACGGAAUAUGUGGAGGGAUGCACCUUAGCUGCUGUGGUUUCCAUACAAGCUCUUGAGGAAGAGAUGAUAGCCUCUAUCAGUCGGGAGUGCCUGAAAGGACUGGACUUCCUUCAUUCAAAUCGAGUGAUUCACAGAGACAUCAAAAGUGACAAUAUUCUUCUGGGAAUCGAUGGAUCUGUGAAAUUGAGUAGGCGUUCCUGGGCACAGUGUUCCUGGGAGGCAGGGUAUAUGUAGUGUAUAUAUAUGUAUAUAUGUAUAUAUGUACAGCGUUUGUGUAAAUAUAUAUUGUGUGUAUCUACACAAUGUACUGUAGAGUUAUUACCAUUGUAUAUAGAUAAUGUAUAUAUGUGUUUGUAUAUAGAGAGACUGUGUAUAUAGUGUGUAUAUAUGUAGUGUAUAUAUAUAGCGUUUGUGUAAAUAAAUAUUGUGUGUAUCUGUAGUAUAUGUAUAUAAAUAUGUAUUUUUAUAGACAUUCGAAGGCCCUUCUAUAGGUGCUACACACUGUAGAGAGAGGUAUAAUAUCGUGUAUAGGAUAAUGUAUGAUCUCUUCUGUAAACGAUACCCUGUAUUUAUCGGUGUGUGUGUUGCGUCGGUACCUGGCCAUGGUUUUACCUGGACGGAUGGAAGGAUGGGUGGGUGAAUGGAUACAGAUCGCCCUCUCGCGGCUGCCAGCGGGGCAGGCGGAGGCAGGAGUCCCUGAAUAUGUGUUUGUAAACCUUUUGAAGUUAUGAAAGGCCGAAAUGAAACAUUUCUCACCCAUUUCCCCCGUUUUCAUUUCCGAGGGACUCUCUGCUGAAGGUGGCCUGAGUAUGUACAUAAAUGCAGCACCCUCCAAAAAACCCUGUUUUUCCCACAAGUUGUUAAAAAAUACUGCUCAGCUCUGUUAGGAGCUGGAGCCCACAGCGAGGGGGCAUCGUCCCUGCCCAGCCUUGGCUAUCAUGCGGGGAACAGGCAGCCUGGCUUCACCUGGGAUUCACUGGGGAAGCCAGAAGCCUUGUAAAUCAGCACAGCCAGUUGUGUUCCCAGCUUGGGAACUCAGCUCCUUCUGAUGGGCAAACCCUGUCUGUUCCAACUACUUCCAAGAAAUAAUAAAUGCAGAUGUACAGACA